AUACGGAGGAUCCGAGCGUUAUCCGGAUUUAUUGGGUUUAAAGGGUGCGCAGGCGGGAUGUUAAGUCGGCGGUGAAAUUUUGCAGCUCAACUGUAAAAGUGCCUUCGAUACUGGCUUCCUUGAGUGUGGAUGAAGUAGGCGGAAUUUGUGGUGUAGCGGUGAAAUGCUUAGAUAUCACGAGGAACUCCGAUUGCGCAGGCAGCUUACUAAACCACUACUGACGCUCAUGCACGAAGGCGUGGGGAUCAAACAGGAUUAGAUACCCUGGUAGUCCACGCAGUAAACGAUGAUUACUAGUUGUUUGCGAUACAAUGUAAGCGACUGAGCGAAAGCGUUAAGUAAUCCACCUGGGGAGUACGUUCGCAAGAAUGAAACUUAAAGGAAUUGACGGGG
rnacentral:rRNA from 1 species